AGAUAAAAGAUUAUUAAUUGUAUUUUGUAAAAGUAGUUUUUAAUAUAAAUAAAUUUAAUUUUUAUAUUUUUUGUAUUAUUUAAAGAUAAAAUAAUUUUUAUUAUAGUAAAUUAGUAUUGAUAAAGAAUUUUGAAAAAUUAAUUAUUUAAUUAAAAGUAAUAUUUAUUUUAUGUACCUUUUGUAUCAGGGUUUAUUAAUUAAAGGUUAAUGAUUUUAUGAUUCUCGAAUUAAAAGGAGCUAGUUUAGUAUGAUAGUUUAUGUGUUAUAAUAAUUAUAAAUAUUAAAUUAGUAAUGAAAUGUUAUUCGUCUUUUAAUAUAUCUAGUUUUUUAAGAAAUAAAUUUAAUUUACAUGUUAAUAAUAUAAUAUUUUUUAUUUGAAAAUUAAUUAUUUAUUAAUAUGAAUAUAUUAAGGGAUAAGCUUUAAUUUAUUAAAUUAUAAUUUUAUAAGAGUAUAAAUUAAUUGUAGAUUUAGAAAUAGUUAUCAAUAAAAAUUUUGUAUUAAUUUAUAAAUGUUGUUUAAUGUUUUAUAAAAUUUAAUUUGAGUAUUAAAAUAUAUUUUUUAAUAAUAAAAAAGUAGAAAUAAUGAUUAAAUUAGUAUAUAGAAUUUAUUUAUUUUAUUAUUUUAAUAAAAUUAAUUUAAGGAAUUCGGCAAACAUAAUAUUCACCUGUUUAACAAAAACAUGUCUUUUAGAAAAUAAUUUAAAGUUUAAACUGCCCCACUGAAUUAAUUUGAAGGGCCGCAGUAUUUUGACUGUGCAAAGGUAGCAUAAUCAUUAGUCUUUUAAUUGAAGGCUUGUAUGAAUGGUUGGAUGAAAUAUUAACUGUCUCAAAUUAAUAAAAUAGAAUUUAAUUUUUAAGUUAAAAAGCUUAAAUGGAAUUAGAGGACGAGAAGACCCUAUAGAUCUUUAUAUUUUUAUUUUUAAUUUUUAUUUGGAGAAAAAAAUAUUUUUAAUGAUAAUAGUAUUUUAUUGGGGUGAUAACUAAAUUUAGUUAACUUUAUUUAAUAAAAACAUUAAUUUAUGAAUAAUUGAUCCAUUAUUAGUGAUUAAAAGAUUAAGUUACCUUAGGGAUAACAGCGUAAUUUUUUUAGAGAGUUCUUAUCGAUAAAAAAGUUUGCGACCUCGAUGUUGAAUUAAAGAUUAAUUUAGGUGCAGUAGUUUAAAUGUUUGGUCUGUUCGACCAUUAAAUCUUUACAUGAUUUGAGUUCAAACCGGCGUGAGCCAGGUUGGUUUCUAUCCUUAAUAAAAUAAAAUAUUUUAGUACGAAAGGACCAAAUAUUUAAAAAAGUUUUUUUUUGUAAGAAUAGUAUUAAU
rnacentral:rRNA from 1 species